AACAAAAAUCUGCAAAAAUGUAUGAAAAAUCUACAGGUGUCGCCUACGAGCGCAUCCAAGGGUAAGCAUGUCAGCACACGCCACAAGAGGAGAAUACAAAUAUCAUAGAGGCCCCGGCGCGGAUCCCUGAAGAUUUCAAAUUAAAUCAAUAGCAGUUUUUGAUAACCUCUCGUUAUAGGAUAAGUCUACAUACAUAUGCACAUGCAUGCUUCAAGGAAAACACCAUCCUUCUGAAGUACUGAAGUCUGAAUAAACGUCGUUUUGCAAAUCAA